AGCCGCAGCGCAUUCUCAUGCUGUGGUCCCUCCCCAGACCGCCAGCGCCCUGCAGCCACCAGGUCUACAGUGUGCAUUAGGAUUAUUGCUGGUCUUCCUAGGGGGUAAAAGGAUCAGAGAGAGAAGAAUUAAGUGCUAAAUUGGAAGAAAACCCCAAUAUAAUUAUGUAAAAUGUCACUACAUUGAUUUUCCAAGAGGCAUUGUAGGAACAUGUCAAAAACAGCCAGCCCUUUAAAUAUUGCAGUCAGCCAAGGAAAUCAGAUGAGAAUUGUGGCUAUUAAGAGAAUUCACUGAGAGUUCUUCUCUAGAUUUUUAGCCGACAACCACUAAAAGCUGCUGCUUUUCCAGGGUUGGGGAGGAAAUGAAUACAUAGAAAAACAAAAAAGAUUGUUCUGGAUUCUCAGUGAAAGGCUAUAGGAAGUCUGUUCUGGAGACAUCUACUUUUUAGAUCCUGAUACAUCACUGAGUGUCAUACUCCACUAAAAGGAAACUCUAACUGAAGGCUGGCUGGUGUGACAAUCCCGUUAGUUGGAUCUUCACCUACAGCCAGAUUUUGUUCUAGUGGCCGUCUUUCUGUAAACCCAGAUGGUGUCAUACAGAAAUUGUUUCUUUCAGAAGCAGAUUGGAAUCUCUUGGGACCAUGAGACUGAGUCCCAAUAUUUCCACCCAGGGUCAUGCCCGUCGUUGUCUACUUCCAUUUUGAGAUCUAUAGUUUGAUUAUUAUUACAGGAACUGUUUCUUUUCUUUUUCUAGGAGUAUUUAUAAGAGUGUGAUAUUUUAAAGUCAGACACAGCAAAAACUGUUUCAGGGUGAAGAAAGACCCCUUUCAGCCCUGUUUUGUAGCCCUGGGUGGGGGCAUGAGAUAGCAAGCUUCUGAUCUGGUCACUGUACACAUCUUCUAGGUCUCGUGGUCAUUUGGUAGGCUGACCUUUGAGUGAGCGAGGCCACUAUUGAGUGGAUAGCAAGAACAUUGGAACCAAAGCCUUGGCACAGGCCUGGCACUGGCUGUACAUUAGCCCUUACAACUAAACAACCCAACAAACUAAGCAACUGAAACGAAACAAAGGAGCAUUCGUUCUCUGUUAUUAGGAAUCAUUCUGCUCUGUUAGGGAAGGGCUGCAGGAAGGGCAGUUUCCUGAAUAAAAAUCUGGCUGUGACCAGUCCGAUGUGUCUGGUAAGUAAGUAAGUAAAUAAGUAAGUAAGUGCCCUUUGAAGGGAUCAUUAAGACACAGGGAGCAUGAACCUGAGAUCAGAAGCAUUUCUUUACUAAUUUAGAUUCUGCCAAAUAGACGGACCUCUCCACCCCCAAACCUAAAACAGGCCAGGACUUGUCUCUUUGUGCUGAAAGCAAAUAGCGGGACUAACUCAAGCCCCAGCCUCUUUCCACCCUCCCUGAUACCUAAGGACUGCUUUCUCAGCUAGACCAGGGUGGGUAUCAGCGACGCCUUCUCAGCUAGACCAGGGUAGGCAUCAGCGUCCUCUCUCCAUCUCUAUACCCCUCUCUCUCACAUCAGGAAGAUGAAAUGUGUAGCUCUAGCGGCAGCCUCUAGCCAGGAGCCCAGUGGCCUCUCAGAUUGCUUUUUGGCCAGGUCUCAGCACUGCUGGCCUCUUUGCAUCUUACUCCUUACAACCGCCUCUCGCUGAGGAGCCACUGCAUUUUGAAGAAUUUCUCAGUGUCUGUUAGAAAAGUGCUCCUGCUCAUUUGAAACGCCACACAUCCACCCACACUCACCUGUCCAGGCGAAUGAGCAGGUCCUGUAGCUUUACAAAUAUGCCACUGAUGCCGCUUCUCCCCAGGGUCUCUCAGUUUUCCAGGACAAAAAGAUUUAGGGCCUAUACCCUAUGGGCAAAACACCUAAAAUGUCAACAGUCAAAAUGCCAUUCUUUUUGGCCAUCAUAAGAGGGAGUAGGUAUCACUGCUGCAUGCCAGUUGUUUUUGACUAGAAUAUGCCAACCAGAGCUUGUUGGGGCAGGAGACGUUUUUCCUUACAAGCAGACUGCCUGUGCCCUGUGCCCUGUUUGCUACUUCACUGCCAUGGAAUGAUCCGAGUACUGUAUUUCAGAGCUGCCCCUUCCCCAGCAGCAAACACUCGCUGAGUCCAUGUCUGGCUUCAGGUGGGAGGAGAUGUUUCAGAUGAAACUUAACUCAAUUCAUAUCACCCUGAAAUGGAGGACAGAGGUGACAAACUUCAGUUUAAUAGGUUUCUCACCAAGUUGUAUGUUCCAUUGGCCCAGGAUUCUUGCACUAAUGGGUUUCUAUCACAUCAUGUCUAUAAAUGGGUGCACUUUACUGUUUGAAUUUGUAACUGAAGUACUGGAUAUUUAAGUGUGAGUAAUGUCUUCAUUAGAAAAUAGCAGAACCGCUUUUGUCUUUUAGUGUAUUUUUCAAGAAAAAAGGAAAGGAAAGACAUCAAGCAGUGGAUCACAACAUUUAUAGCACAAGAAAUAACUGUUGUAUAUAAGCAUCAAAAAGAUUAAGAAUUUUUUAAUAUGAAAAAUAUUUGCAGUGAUUUUAAAGUGCUUUUCCAGCAAUGUUCUUAGGGACUCCUGAGACACGGUUACUUUAUCUACUGGAUCAGUAAGGCACACAAUUAACAAUUAACAAUUAAUGUUUAUUUACAAAGUAAAGGGAAAACCUGUGUAACAUGAGAAUUUGGCAUGACAAAAUGGAGACCAUUUUGUAUCUGCUGUUGUAUCUUGUCCGGGUUGCAGAUGUGCACUAUUAAAGUCCCAAGUUAAUAGAGCACAAACCCUUCUCGCUCCUCCCCCAUGUGCCCCUCUUUUUAGAUGUGUAUAACUUAAACUCGAUGGCUCAGGAAAAUUCCACUAAUUAGAAUCAUGUACAGUACCCCAGGUCGUUGUCCAGAUAUACGAGUUUGCUAAUAUAGUUAAGCCUGGAUUAUUAAACACUUUUCCUAAAUUAUUGUAAACAACAGCUUAGAGAAAGGUAUUCUCAGUCCUUAUAUUGUAUAGUAGUUUAUGAGCCCCUCUCUAAAUAUUGGUAUUUUUAUAUUCCAGAGAUGUACCCAAUAGAAAAAAUUAAAAAUUAAUCAGUAUCUAAUUUAAUAUCCAUAAGUAUUUUUCCUUAGAGUUUAGUCACGUACAGUGGGCUAUGUGGAUGUCACUUGUGCUUCACCAUAGUUUACCACUAGGUGUCACUGUGGCUCUGCACUGCGCUUGUUUUGUAGCAAAGAACCGCGGCAUCCCCUCGGGAGAGAGGAGCUGCUUCCAGGGCAACAGGCAAGCGGGCUCAGAGGUUCAGGAGAAGGGAACAGAGGCCUGGAAGGGGUCUUCGUGCAUCUGUGCCAGUUGUGCAAGACGAACUCUUUGAACACUACAUGCUUUGGACUUCAGCCAGGCAGAGGCUGGGAAAAGGUUGACCAGAGCUCCCUUGCUCUGGUAGAGGGUUGGGUACAUGGAGAAGCCCCUUCUUCCCCAUGAGCCUCCCUCCUCUCAGUUCCUCUCAGCCUCCAGCUUUUAUAACUCCAGAAGCGUCACAGUUGGGUGGUUUGAUUCAGAGAGAGUUAUUUUUCUACUGCAGAAAUGCCUUGGACAAAACCAGUGCUCACUGAAUCUUUGCCACAAAAUGGAACAGGCUAUCCCAGGGAGCAAGAGGUGCCCGCCCCUGUGCCCAGCCUCCUCUUGAUGCUCCCAGUGCCCAGCAGCCUCGCCCACCCUGCCUGUCUGUUCCUGGGCUGCCCAUUUCUCAAGAAACCGACCUGCAAAGGCAGCCGGCUGCUGCCUCCACACCGAGGGCUGUGCGGUCCUGCUGCUUGCUCACUGGGAGGUGCAGCUCUUUCUCCUCUUCCUCUAGGAAUUCCAGACCGACCAUCUACCAUGACUUAACAGCAAUGAACAAAGGGCUUAGGGGCAAGAGCUACCUGCAAAGACGUGUCAUGGAACCCUUCACCAUGCAAUGCCUUGAACUCAGCUCUGGCUGCUCCCAAGAAAAGGUGGCUGGCUGGGGGCCUGGACACAAGCACAAUGGGGCUGGUGGAGCCACUGUGCAGAGCUACUUGAAUAAUCACUGGGUUUUCAUCAACUCCUUUUGUCAUACAGACCACUCAAGGGCUGAAGUGUUGGUAACCUUCAUUUCGGUGUCCAAAGCCUCACGGCAGAUGAGCCACCCUGAGAUGCUUGUGGCCACAUGGUGGCCACAGUCAGAGCUUUGAAAGUCAGUACCAAAUGAACGCAUAAUUGGACACCAAAAAUCAAGUGUUACUUUCAUGUUUCCUCACCCCAUCAUCUCAUUGCCUCCUGCUGACUCUGAUACCGACGCUGAGCUGACUUGCCGGGCUGCCGCUGGAUGCAUAGAGAUAAGGCCAGCGCCGCGCUCAUUUUUCCAGAUAGACCUACUCUGUGGAACGGAAGUGCCCUAGCUGCUUUGUUUUUGUAGCACUUGCUGGCUGAAUUUUUCUUUUGCUAAUCGCUAACCAGAAAGUCUGGUUGGAGGGGGCUCAACUCAAUCCCUUUGGUCCCCAGAGCCAGACAAGAGUUAAUUCUGGAAAAUUCAGUACUUGAAUGUACCUGCCUUAUUGCAUACCAAUUUACUGGGGGGAAAAAAAAAAGUUAAGAGAUGCCGGCUCCAGAUCUCCACUUCAUUCACAGGUGAUUUUGGAAAUCCUGUAAGUUACACUUCCUGUUCUGGUUUUGUUUUGUUUUUUGUUUCCUUUGGCUGAUUCCUGCUGAGUGAGGCCAGUUCCUCAUCAGGCUCAGGGCAGGUGCCUUUUCAGGUGUGGCCUCCUUUCCAUCUAGCACAGCAUCUUUGUCUCUGUUCUGUCUCCUCCAAAUCCAAGAUGAUUUUAAUUAGUACAGACAUGUACAGUCUACAAUUAAAGAGUGAUUUGUACUAAUAUGAUUUUGAUUCUUCCUCCUCUUUGCUGUCCUUUCAAGACACUUGCUGGAAAAAGCUUUAAUGCACUUAGUUUUCCUUUAGGUUUUCUAUGACUCAGAUGUAAAGGACUUUCUCUGUACAGUAUAUUAUCCAAUGCAUGUUUGUUCUCCUGAUAUAUUGAACACCACACAGUUGUGAAGCCGCGCAGUGGGGAUGCCCCACACCCCACAGAGGCAUCUACCCCUGUGUAUAAGGAAAGACAUUUUCCUUUGCUGUACUUGCUUGAGCAGUUUUAUUGUCUGUACAUGUGAGCUGUGUGAGAUAGAUGUGAAAAGUUCAAAUGAAUGCAUUUUCCUGCCCCAUGUAUACAGAUUGUCAUCUGUACAAUGAACUGUAUGUAUGAAAGCAAAUGUACUUAUUUAUAAAUGGCUAACACUUGG
rnacentral:lncRNA from 1 species